CUUUAAUAUUUUUAUUAGUGAUAUUGCAGAAGGUCUUGAUGGUAAGGUAUGUCUUUUUGCUGAUGAUACUAAGAUAUGUAACAGGGUUGAUGUUCCAGGAGGGAUAAGCCAAAUGGCAAAUGAUUUAGGUAAACUAGAAAAAUGGUCAGAAUUGUGGCAACUGACAUUUAAUGUGGAUAAGUGCAAGAUAAUGCAUCUUGGACGUAAAAACCGAAGGGCAGAGUACAGAAUAUUUGAUAGAGUCCUAACCUCAACAUAUGAGGAAAGGGAUUUAGGGGUGAUUAUUUCUGAUGACUUAAAGGUAGGCAGACAAUGUAAUAGAGCAGCAGGAAAUGCUAGCAGAAUGCUUGGUUGUAUAGGGAGAGGUAUUAGCAGUAGAAAGAGGGAAGUGCUCAUGCCAUUGUACAG